UCCAGCAAUGCGGUGAGGAAAGCACUAUUAAUAGUUUAAAAUUGAGUAACGAGCAAUUGAGUAACUUACCCACAGCAGCUCAGCAGAUUGGGGAACCUGAGAACUGUUGGCUUGGCUCAGAACUACCGCUAUUUGUUUGUUUGGAGGGGGGAGGGGAGUUAGUUCAUCUUUUCCAGUUGGAAUCUCUCUCCCAGCAUCCUCUUCGAAUUCUUCUUCACUUGGCUUCAGCUUGUACACCUGCAGGGACGGAGAGCUCACUACCUCCCCGGGGAUCUAGCUCUGGCUGCAUCAGUAUGAAAACACUCCCUCAAGUUUGUGGAGUGCUUAAUAAGUCUUCAAGACUCAGAGUGGUUUCCUGGGAAACAGAGCAGCUUGCUCAACCCCCAGGGACAUGGUGUGGUCUGGAUUACAAGUGAAGAAAUUUAGAAGGAGCCAAAAACCUCACGUUUUGUUGCCACGAGAGAGAGGACAUGUUGUGGACCCACAAGCAGAGGCUUUAUUGUGCUGGAUCUUCCCUACCAGAUGAGACCGAAAUCAAAGACCAGAAAUUGCAACUGAAAACAUUUCGUCCAACAACUCGAGGGAAGAAAUCGGGACAGCUUAAACUCCUGGAUGGGAGAAGGCAGUACGAUGAAGGCUCUGAAAAGUCUCUGUGGCAGUUGUUUCUGGAUUUCAGAAUGUGCUUUUAGGUUGCCAUCACCAUAGGCUUCUCAAAUCAAUAAGCCACAGAGCACCUUUGAUAGCAAAAGAUGAGACAGACUCCUGCAGCAUGCUCCUUGGGACUGGGGCCCUCCACUGUCCACAGACAGGAUUCUUGCUCCUUUGCUGGAUGCUUGAAUGAUAUGCUUUUGUGUAAACAUCCUUGGUGCACAAUAUUCAACUGGGAUUCAAGAAAGCUUGAGCUGUCUCUAGUCUUUGUCAAAACAACAAAAGGACUUUGUCAGCCAGAAAUACCUUUAACUUAAACAGGUAUGCAUUGCUUGUUUCUCUUCCUUCCUUCCUUCCUUCCUUCCUUCCUUCCUUCCUUCCUUCCUCCCUCCUCUUCUUCAUCUUCUAGUAAGAGUAUUCCAAGAGCUAGUUAUCCAGGGAAUGUGCCGCUGUCCAAGGAUGCUGUCUAGCCCUUGGGUUACCUCUUCCUUUCCUGCCUUCCCUGAGAAGGGGGGUAUUUUGUUUUCAUACUUGCUGCCUCAUGGCCCCUGUCAUGAUUGCCACACCUCUGUGUAUUAGGUUCUUUACUAGGGUAUGAAGAAAAAGGAAAAUUAAGGAAGCAAAUGGUCUGGUCAUCAAGCCUGUUUUCUGUGUCAGGAAGACAAAACCUUUCCUUAAAGUCUAUGCAGAUUUUUGCUUGCAUUUCCAUAAGCCAGAAACAAGUUGUAUGACCAUUACUAAACAAGUUGUUAGUGAAUAGAAACAGUGUUAUCAAGAUUCACACCAAAGGCUCAGUGAUGGCCGCCUUUGUGGCAGGAGAACAAAACAAAUAGAAGAAUAAAACAGAGAGGACUUAGCA
rnacentral:lncRNA from 1 species